UAUAGUAGAGGCGCGGGAUUUAUGAUUACGCAGAUUGAUGCAUGUGGUUGCAAUUGAUUUCUGCCGAAAGGAUUGACCGCCGAAGUUGUGGAUUUGCCACGGGGUUCACUGCUGGUUGUACAGUUAAUAGCUGUAUGACUGUCAUCGAUAUACAGAGAUGGAGAGCUACUUA
rnacentral:ncRNA from 1 species